rnacentral:rRNA from 1 species
UACGGAAGGGGCAAGCGUUGUUCGGAAUCAUUGGGCGUAAAGGGCGCGUAGGUGGUUCUGUAUGUCUACCGUGAAAGCGUACGGCUCAACUGUAUUUUGUCGGUGGAAACUGCAGGACUUGAGGCUGGGAGGGGCUGGUGGAAUUCCCUGUGUAGCGGUGAAAUGCGUAGAGAUCGGGAGGAACACCAGUGGCGAAGGCGGCCCCCUGGGCCGGGCCUGACACUGAGACGCGAAGGCGUGGGGAGCGAACGGG